CUGCACAACUUCCAUCUUGACAACCAGGUUGAUGACGACAUUGUUUGGAAACAUGUUGUAGAUGGGAUAUACUCGGCGGCCACCGCAUAUAAGGCGCAAUUCCUUGGUCUGACACACUUGCCCAUUCACUACAUGGUUUGGAAAGUUUGGGCUCCCCAAAAGGUAAAAUUCUUCGCUUGGCUGGCCUUGCAAGACCUGAUUUGGAUUGCAGACCGGUUGGAGCGGCGCGGUUGGGAAAAUUGUGGGCUUUACCCUCUUUGCAAAAGGGGGCAAGAAACAGGCAUCCACCUUUUCGUCAAGUGA
rnacentral:rRNA from 1 species